GCCUUUGUAGCUCAGGGGAUAGAGCACCGCUCUCCUAAAGCGGGUGUCGCUGGUUCGAAUCCAGUCAAGGGCA
rnacentral:tRNA from 2 species